rfam:Schistosoma mattheei strain Denwood, Zambia genome assembly, scaffold: SMTD_contig0000626
AUCUAGUCGACGGGUCUCAAAUAGAACGAAACACGCGUCCUGGAU